rnacentral:rRNA from 1 species
UGGUGUAGCGGUGAANUGCGCAGAUAUCAGGAGGAACNCCGAUGGCGAAGGCAGGUUACUGGGCAGUUACUGACGCUGAGGAGCGAAAGCAUGGGAGCGAACAGGAUUAGAUACCCUGGUAGUCCAUGCUGUAAACGGUGGGCGCUAGGUGUGGGCUGUGUGUUUGCAGUCUGUGCCGUAGCUAACGCAUUAAGCGCCCCGCCUGGGGAGUACGGCCGCAAGGCUAAAACUCAAAGGAAUUGACGGGGGCCCGCACAAGCGGCGGAGCAUGUGGAUUAAUUCGAUGCAACGCGAAGAACCUUACCUGGGUUUGACAUGCACCAGAUCGGCGUAGAGAUACGUUUUCCCUUGUGGUUGGUGCACAGGUGGUGCAUGGUUGUCGUCAGCUCGUGUCGUGAGAUGUUGGGUUAAGUCCCGCAACGAGCGCAACCCUUGUCUUAUGUUGCCAGCACAUUUUUGGUGGGGACUCAUGAGAAACUGCCGGGGUCAACUCGGAGGAAGGUGGGGAUGACGUCAAAUCAUCAUGCCCUUUAUACCCAGGGCUUCACACAUGCUACAAUGGUCGGUACAACGGGUUGCGACACUGUGAAGUGAAGCUAAUCUCUCAAAGCCGGCCUCAGUUCGGAUUGGGGUCUGCAACUCGACCCCAUGAAGUCGGAGUCGCUAGUAAUCGCAGAUCAGCAACGCUGCGGUGAAUACGUUCCCGGGCCUUGUACACACCGCCCGUCACGUCAUGAAAGUUGGUAACACCCGAAGCCCAUGGCCUAACCACCACCUGUGGUGGGGGGA